AUUGAACGCUGGCGGCAUGCCUUACACAUGCAAGUCGAACGGUAACAGGUUAAGCUGACCAGUGGCGAACGGGUGAGUAAUGUAUCGGAACGUGCCCAGUCGUGGGGGAUAACUGCUCGAAAGAGCAGCUAAUACCGCAUACGACCUGAGGGUGAAAGCGGGGGAUCGCAAGACCUCGCGCGAUUGGAGCGGCCGAUAUCAGAUUAGGUAGUUGGUGAGGUAAAGGCUCACCAAGCCGACGAUCUGUAGCUGGUCUGAGAGGACGACCAGCCACACUGGGACUGAGACACGGCCCAGACUCCUACGGGAGGCAGCAGUGGGGAAUUUUGGACAAUGGGCGCAAGCCUGAUCCAGCCAUGCCGCGUGCGGGAAGAAGGCCUUCGGGUUGUAAACCGCUUUUGUCAGGGAAGAAAAGGUUCUGGCUAAUACCUGGGACUCAUGACGGUACCUGAAGAAUAAGCACCGGCUAACUACGUG
rnacentral:rRNA from 1 species